rnacentral:sRNA from 1 species
AUUCUGCCCCAGUGACCUGGAUCCUGACUCUACCACUUCUUCCUUGCACAGUCACUAGGGAAGGACUCUGGCAGCAGAGCCGCGCUGUCGUGCCCCAGCCAGCCAGGCUCUCCUGGGAUCUGGGUUGGAAGGGGCUGCCGAGACCAUCAGUCUAAUCUUUGGUCUACAGGUGGGGAAACUGAGGCUCAAGGAAGGUCAGUGGGGGGCCAGAAGGGACCUCGUGUGUGAGAUCUGGAAGCGGGAAUUGGAGCAGCAGUUUCAUUCUGCUUCAGCUCAGGAAGCGUCUGCGGUUCCCCCACCGCUGUAAGCCAGGUUCCCCCUCCAGGCUGCUGGGCUGGGACUGAGUCACUUCUUCCCAGGCUGUAAAUCCUGGGACUGCUGUGCAAGGCAGAGUCACUAGGGACGGACUCAGGCAGCAGAGCUGCGCUCUCAUGCCCCAGCCAGCCAGGCUGUCCUGGGAUCUGGGCUGGAAGGGGCUGCCGAGACCAUCAGUCUAAUCUUUGGUCUACAGGUUGGGAAACUGAGGCUCAAGGAAGGUUCUGCGUCCUGCU